rnacentral:rRNA from 1 species
GUUUAUGGCCAUGCCACCCUGAACAUUCCUGAUCUCGUCUGAUCUUGGAAGCUAAGCAGGGUUGGGCCUGGUUAGUACUUGGAUGAGAGACCACCUAGGAAGACCAGGUGCUGUAGGCA